rnacentral:miRNA from 1 species
AAUGUAAAAGUCCAAGAGUAAAGA